rnacentral:misc_RNA from 1 species
AGCAGCCGCGGUAAUUCCAGCUCCAAUAGCGUAUAUUAAAGUUGUUGCAGUUAAAAAGCUCGUAGUUGAGUUUCGGGAUUGACGUGAUGGUCGUGCCUUAAGGGGUAUGAACUGUUGCUGUUGAUUUCUCACCUUCUGGAGAAACUUGAUGUCCUUAAUUGGGUGUCUUGCGGAUCCAGGACCUUUACCUUGAAAAAAUUUAGAGUGUUUAAAGCAGGCAUUUUGCUCGAAUACAUUAGCAUGGAAUAAUAGAAUAGGACGGCAUGGUUCUAUUUUGUUGGUUUCUAGGAUCACCGUAAUGAUUAAUAGGGAUAGUUGGGGGCAUUAGUAUUCAAUUGUCAGAGGUGAAAUUCUUGGAUUUAUUGAAGACUAACUACUGCGAAAGCAUUUGCCAAGGAUGUUUUCAUUAAUCAAGAACGAAAGUUAGGGGAUCGAAGACGAUCAGAUACCGUCGUAGUCUUAACCAUAAACUAUGCCGACUAGGAAUCAGACGAUGUUAAUUUUUUUAAAUGACUCGUUU